rnacentral:rRNA from 1 species
GAUGAACGCUAGCUACAGGCUUAACACAUGCAAGUCGCGGGGCAGCAUGGGGGUUGCUUGCAAUCCCCGAUGGCGACCGGCGCACGGGUGAGUAACGCGUAUCCAACCUGCCCUUCACCACGGGAUAACCCGGCGAAAGUCGGACUAAUACCGUAUGUUGUCCAUUGACGGCAUCCGAUUUGGACGAAAGGUUUGGCGGUGAAGGAUGGGGAUGCGUCCGAUUAGCUGGACGGCGGGGUGACGGCCCACCGGGGCGACGAUCGGUAGGGGUUCGGAGAGGAAGGUCCCCCACACUGGAACUGAGACACGGUCCAGACUCCUACGGGAGGCAGCAGUGAGGAAGAUUGGGCAAUGGGCGUAAGCCUGAACCAGCCAAGUAGCGUGCAGGAGGACGGCCCUAUGGGUGGUAAACUGCUUUUAUGCGGGGAUAAAGUGGCCCACGUGUGGGUUUUUGCAGGUACCGCAUGAAUAAGGACCGGCUAAUUCCGUG